rnacentral:rRNA from 1 species
CCUACGGGUGGCAGCAGUGAGGAAUAUUGGUCAAUGGGCGAGAGCCUGAACCAGCCAAGUAGCGUGAAGGAUGACUGCCCUACGGGUUGUAAACUUCUUUUAUAAAGGAAUAAAGUGAGGCACGUGUGCCUUUUUGUAUGUACUUUAUGAAUACGGAUCGGCUAACUCCGGGCCAGCAGCCGCGGUAAUACGGAGGAUCCGAGCGUUAUCCGGAUUUAUUGGGUUUAAAGGGAGCGUAGAUGGGUUGUUAAGUCAGUUGUGAAAGGUUGCGGCUCAACCGUAAAAGUGCAAUUGAUACUGGCAGUCUUGAGUGCAGGUGAGGUAGGCGGAAUUCGUGGUGUAGCGGUGAAAUGCUUAGAUAUCACGAAGAACUCCGAUUGCGAAGGUAGCUUACUAAACUGUCACUGACAUUGAGGCUCGAAAGUGUGGGUAUCAAACAGGAUUAGAUACCCUGGUAGUC